UUAUGGUAGCUAACUUGUCGUGGAACUGCCGUCUCUAACUGUUGCCACUACUCUUUGUCGUUCAACCGUCUUCAACUGAACUCCUUGAAUCGUGGAUCGUGAUAAGGUUACUCGAUAACUGCUUCGAUAACUGUACUUCUGGAUAACCAUAACAUCUUAUGUUUGCUAAGAUUUUGGGCGAUUCGAAAGUUUGGGCGAGAACAGGGUCAUAGCUCUGGGCGACUGUAAGGCACUUCAUUCGCUCAGAUCUUGGGCGUCUUGCAAGCUUGGGCGAUGAUGUAAUCGUGUUCGUGGGCUUCCACUGCAUUCAUUAGUAACCCUAUUUGGACCUUUAUCCUGAAUUUUCCAGUUGGGCUUCAUUCUUUGGGCUAUUUGAUUUGGGGAUUCCCUAAUUGGACUUCAUUCCCUGGGCUAUUCGAUUUGGGCUGCACUUUUAGUGUGUCAACAGUAUGUUUAAUAAUGUGAUUGGAGACUUACGAAGUUAUUUUGUGACCAACCUGCUGUGCUGUUUUUUUAACCAUAUUACCUUCAUGAAUUAAUGAUUGAUAUCAUACGAAAAAAGGAAAUAUAUGGAAUUAACUUGCGUACGUUUGCCACAUUUGACUUUAACGUGCUCUCAGUCCAAUUUUAUAAUAGCAGCGUUCAAAGGUAAAAUGUUAAUCCUUGGUGGGUGAGCUGAUAAUGGACAUGGCUUUUUGAGACCAGACAUAUUCUGUUAUGAUUAUGUGAUCAUAGGUAGACAGAAGUCCUUAGUCAUUUGAUCAAAGGAAAAAGUGAUGUAGGGUGAAUAAUAACAAGAAGAGAGCAAGGGAAGGGAAGGAGAAGAAGAG
rnacentral:lncRNA from 1 species